ACGACUCGUUUCCAUUACUGUUUCGCGAAUUAUCCGGCGACGAAGGUCCAAAUGUACGCGAGGGAGAAGGCGGAACGAAAUAAAACGCGGCGAACUAUUUUUAAUAACUAAGCGGACUGUACUUUAUUUUUUCUUUUGUUUGCGUAAAGACACGUUUAUAACUGCUCACUCUGACGGUUUCUUCUUGAAUAGAAUCUUCUCGUUGCAGUGCACGAAACAGGAAGUUAAGGUUGGCAGCGUGUGGUGACGACAGCUUGGCAAUAGGUUGCGUGAGGGAUAGGACUGCGCAUAGGGUUGAAAUGCACGGUAACAGCCUCAAUCAACUGAAAUUGUAGAAAGAUGUAGUGUUUGGUCCGUCAAACCAUACGACGGGCCAAAGCUAAAUCAGCGAAUAAGCGAUAGAUUGGAACCCUUACAUGACAUCAGACCCAGAGGCUCAUGGCGCUUAACUUUUAGGAUGAAAUACAAUAAGUCGAUCAAAAUCUGACAUUCCACUUUCCGGGUUCUACUUACGAUUUACACAGGAGGGACAGAAGAUAGACUUUAUUUGCCGUUUGGAGUUAUUCUGCUCAGAAAAUCAGGAGUUUCACCGUAUCUGCAGGUUUUACUCACUGGUAUCUCAAUUGUCCUACACUUUUUUCUGCUGCUGGUAAUAAAUAAUUCCGAGUUCAAAUACACUUAAUAACGAUUUUUGCCUUCCAAUAAUUCGAUAAUAUUUUUUCCAAUUAGCUGCGAUGGCGAAGUUUGUUUAUUUUCUGUUCGCCUCUUUACUCCCUACACUGUCAAUACCACCAUUUCACGCGACUCACGCAAAAGAAUAACAAUCAUUAUCAACAGGCUGUCAAAUUGCACUGUUGCGUCGCGUCGCAUCGCACGUCGCGUUUACUCUGGCUUGUCCCUUACACUACUACUGCUAAGCGCAAACUGUCAUGUUGCCCGUUAUGCUGCAACCAGGGUUGUUAAUGCGGCGUCUUAACAAGUAUGAUACAGAGCGUUUUUCUCGUCACUUCUCUAAGCUUCAACUCGUUGCGUCUCUUCUAUUCUCGUUCACUAUGGCAUCGGCCUCUGACUGACCAGUCGGUCGAAGCACGAGAAAUGCUGGGCGAGCUCAUGGUUCAUUCUUCGCCGCCACACACCGUCUUCUUGCACACCGCCAAAGAUGGUCAUAAGCACCCGUUUCUCGAAUACUCCGAGUGCUUGCAAGUCCUCCUCGAGCAUUGUCCAUGUUUCAUGUCCGUAGAGGACAACCGGUCUUAUUAACGUCUUGUACAUGACACAUUUGGUGCGGUGGCGAAUCUUUUUUGACCGCAGUUUCUUCUGGAGCCCGUAGUAGGCCCAACUUCCACAGAUGAUGCGCCUUCGUAUUUCACGACUGACAUUGUUAUCAGCCGUUAGCAAGGAUCCGAGGUAGACGAAUUCCUCGACCACCUCGAAGAUAUCCCCGUCUAUCGUAACACUGCUUCCCAGGCGGGCCCUGUC